rnacentral:tRNA from 1 species
UAUGGCAGAUUAGUGCAAAGGAUUUAAAUUCCUUUUAUAAAGAUCAAUUCUUUUAUUAAAA